CCCGGGUGAUGACAUGCCGGGAUGGGUCGGGUUCAGCCCAAAGGGGAUAGGCCGUGGGGAUAGGUCAGAAGAGCAGCCGGCGUGCGUAGGUGGGGUGCUGGCGGCGGCAGGAACGCGGGCAGAGCAGGCCAGGCAGGUUGGAGCUCCGGUGGGCGGCCGCCGGCUCGCAGGUACUGCCUCCUUGCGUAAAGGUCCCGGAGGCUGCUCGGGUGUUGGCGCUGGUUCGUCUCCUUCUUCUCCUUCACCCUAGUCGGGCGUCUCCUGAACCAGCGGCGCCGACGACGACGACGACGCCGCCGCCCAAACGGGCACAACUUGCAGCCUCGAGACAGGCCGCAAGUUAUGGGACCGUGAUGACGUAUAGGACGCCGGGGUAUACAAAACGGUGGCGUCGAGCGCGGUAGACACGAAGUCUCACGACGACGACGCNNNNNNNNNNNNNNAGUCCAUUUUGAUGGCCUACUCGAAUAUCGUGCUCUUCAACAAUAUUUACUGCGACUAGGUAGACACGCUAUAUUCGAGUGCUUCGCCGUUUGUGUCCUGCUCUAAGUUGUUACGUGUACGUGACAGUAGUAAUGUUCCCCUUUUAUGGUAGGAGGAUUACCUGUCGGACUACCACUCUUCGGUGAGAUAGAUGUAUAGAGACGUCCUAGAGUCGAUUUUCUAUGGCGACUCGCGUAAUUUCGUCAACUAGAACGUCGCAGUUACUAGCUCCUGUAGAACUUUGUACCGGUUUACGGUCUUCGGUGUAGUCGGUUAAAGGGAAGAUAGGUCUCGUCGUCUGUCCGACAAGGAAAAUCGCGGAGUUAGAAAAACCCAAAACUGCGUCUAGGUAGUAACUUACAACGUCGAGCGUAGGCACCUGGUUUACUAGUCAUGUAUUUAGUGUAAUACUUACUUUGUCCCCAGUGACAACAUGAUUCUCCUUUUCUAAGUCCCUUAGAACCGUUGACAGUGCGACUUCGUAGUGUCGUUGGAGACGUGUACGUGGAUAGUCCACACGUAAACUUCUCGGAUCUUCGACGUUUCCAAAAUCGUCUUUUGGAAGAUCUAUGUUAUCGUCGCCUUGAACCACGAAGGUCUUAAAGAAGAAGUUUUCAUAUACCACGACAAGGUGGAGGAGUCGUUGACAACUGACCACACGUGUGGAGCCCUUGUAGACUGUAUACACACAGUUGACCUCGUAGUGUAAGGAAACGGGGAUGACCUCAAUGAAGAGGGUAUCGGCGGGGAAGUCACUGUGAAGUUAGACCCCGCGGUUGAAUAAGACCCUAAGAGGGUGGGUCAUUGGACUAGAUAGGAUCAGUUCGUCGUUUAGCACCCCGAAAAAUGUUACCGAUACCUCUGUAGAUAGGGGUCCGUUGAGGUAACGUCGUCCACCGUAAUUGUGAGUUCGUACGAAGUAGAAGCUGUUGCGUCCAAUAAGGUCACCGUAGGUGUAGUCGUUCGUACCGUUGUUCACACUUGUGGUCACGUUUCAACCUCCGUCUAUUUGCGAGUGUCUCCUCCUUUAAGGUCCUUGACGGUUGUCGUCUGGAAGUCUUGAGUGUUGUCCCCAGGUUUAAACAAUUCUGUCCAAAUCUACUAGAUCCAUUUUACUUGUCAAGUAGCCAACGUCGAUGUUACUUUCAAGUCGGACCUAGUUCAUCCUAUGAAGGUGUUCUAGGUGUAGGUAGAGUAGGUAGACAUAUGUGAUCGUACGGCGGCGGUGGUGGUGGUGGGUUCUUGUACAGUGACGGUAUAGAGUUAUCGUACGGUGGGGGUGGCGGGUCCUCGUACGGAGGCGGUGGUGGAUUCAAGGGAAGUUUAGUUCACAAUUCUUUACUCUUGUCCGUAAGUCGAGAUUUCCUCGACGACCGCGGAGGCUCUAGUAACCUGCGCUCAAGACGACGUGGCGGAGGCUUCCUCGGAUUUCUCCUUUUCGGUUCGUCAUGUAGACAAAGGCUGUGAGACGACUUCGAAUACCUGAUACCCCUACUACUACUACUGCUGCUGCUGAUCGCACGGACCUCCCUUAUGUAGAGGGUCAACUCACGUCUUUGGCAAAACCAGCCACGCUCUUACUAGCACAUUACAUUGACAUGACAACCAUUGUGAUCACGACACUUAACCUUUACGGCCAUCUGUCGGAAUCAAAUGGACAGGACUACGUAAAAGAGUUGCGUUGUUCAGCAACUCGAACAGUAAAACAUAGUUACAAUAGUCCAGUUGUCUAUGGGGACUAGACCUAUGUGCACUAAAAGGGUAGACUUCGUCAUGUCAUCGUUACUCGUACCAAGGAACUCAUAAGAGAGUUAUACAACUAUGAUACACAAAUACACGACAAUCGUAACAAGAUCAUGGAACAUCAUAAU
rnacentral:rRNA from 1 species